CCCUUAGAUGUUCUGGGCCGCACGCGCGCUACACUGAUGCAUUCAACGAGUUUCUUCCUGGUCCAAGAGGAAUGGGUAACCUUUUGAAAGUGCAUCGUGAUAGGGAUAGACUAUUGCAAUUAUUGGUCUUCAACGAGGAAUUCCUAGUAGACGUAGUUCAUCAGACUGCAUCGAUUACGUCCCUGCCCUUUGUACACACCGCCCGUCGCUCCUACCGAUUGAAUGCUCAGGUGAGCCAUUCGGACUUUCAUCAUGCUGGUUUCCAGUUUUGAUGAAGGAAAGUCUUGCGAACCUUAUCAUUUAGAGGAAGGAGAAGUCGUAACA
rnacentral:rRNA from 1 species